GUGCAGCAGUCGCGAAAACUUCACAAUGUGCGAAAGCACGAUGAGGGAAUCCCAAGUGCUUGCACGUAAGUGUAAGCUGUUUCUCUGUCUAAAACGCAGAGAGAGUAAGGGCUGGGUAAGACGGGUGCCAGCCGCCGCGGUAAUACCUGCAGCUCGAGUGGUGACCGUUAUUAUUGGGCCUAAAACGUCCGUAGCCGGUUUAAUAAAUGCCUGGGGUAAAUCGGACCGCUUAACGGUUCGAAUUCCGGGUAGACUGUUAAACUUGAGACCGGGAGAAGUUAGAGGUACUCCUGGGGUAGAGGUGAAAUUCUGUAAUCCUAGGGGGACCACCAGUGGCGAAGGCGUCUAACUAGAACGGGUCUGACGGUGAGGGACGAAGCCCUGGGGCGCAAAC
rnacentral:rRNA from 1 species